CAAUAAACAAACGGCCCUCUUAUAUGUACAGCCACUGUGGGAAACUCUUUUCUCGGUUUUCAGAAUUCUAAGUAGAUCCCUGCUUUAGCCUUAGGGUUCGUCGACAGAGAGCGAGCUUUACCCGACCAAAGGGGAAGAUACUCGGUCGCUAGAAAGAGUGGAGAAUUGCAGGCUUCGGUGGAAAUGGCGAAUAACCCUCAAUCUUCUGCCACACCGCCACUUCGGCCACCGCCUAUUGUCGGAUCCGCUGGUCCUCCUCAAAAUUUUGCUCCACCCAUGUCUAUGCAAUUCCGUCCUAUGAUGUCAGUGCAGCAACAAGGGCAAAUGUAUAUGCCGGCGGGUUCGCAACAAUUUAGGCCUGUUGGGCAAGGUAUUCCUACUUCAAAUGUUGGGAUGCCACCUUCCGCUCAAGGUCAGCAGCUUCAGUAUUCUCAACCAAUUCAGCAGUUGCCUCCGAGGCCUGGGCAGCCUGGUCACAGUAUGCUUACUUCAUCACAGACGGUUCAGAUGCCCUAUCCGCAGCCAAACAUGCCUUCUUUUUCAUCUGGGUCACCACAGCCUCAGCAAAACGCACAGCCUAUGGCUAAUCCUAUGGGAGUACCUGGUAGCAUGGGAAUGCCACUUUUGCCAUCAUAUACUUUUACUACAUCUUAUGGCCAGCCACAAAGCAAUGUUAAUCACUCGAAUCAGUACCAGCCAAUUUCUCAGAUGCAUGCACCUAACAUACCAACUAGUGCUGGGGGACAAUCUUGGCUGUCUUCUGCAAGCCAGUGUGUGCCCCUUGUUACACCGAUUCAGCAAGCCACUCAACAACAGCCUGUGGUAACAUCUGCCUCUGUUCUGGCAACAAAUUCUCAACCUAACUCCAGUCAACAGUCUUCAUCAGAUUGGCAAGAACAUACAUCUGCUGAUGGGAGAAGAUAUUAUUACAACAAGAAGACAAGAGUGUCUAGUUGGGAGAAGCCUUUAGAAUUAAUGACACCUGUUGAGAGGGCAGAUGCGUCCACUGUCUGGAAGGAAUUUACAACUCAAGAGGGCAGGAAGUAUUACUACAACAAGGUCACUAAGUUAUCAAAAUGGACAAUCCCUGAUGAACUGAGGUUGGCUCGGGAACAGGCUGAAAAGGCUGCUAGUCAGGGUCUACAGUCUGACACUACUGUGACUCCUGACUCCUCAUCUGCUGUUGCUGUCACCUUAGUUGAUACACCAUCUUCUGUGGGGAUUUCAAUUGGCUCUUCCUCAACUGUUGCAAUUUCAGGGGUGGCAUCAAGCCCAGUUCCAGUGACACCUGUUGUUUCUAUAAGCCCACCCCCUGUUGUGACGUCUGGAAUGCCUGCUAUUGUUGCUAUUCCUUCUGCUGUUGCAUCAAAUGCAGUUGGGGUUCCCUCUCCUGCAGCAGCUCUUUCUCCCUUACAAUCUACUGUUUCAGGGGGUGCUGUGGUUCCCGUUGCUUUGGACAAUGCCACUACUACAACGACCAACUUUGAGAAUGUAUCUCAAGGUGUUGCAACUUCUAUUGAUGGGGCUUCUGCUCAGGAUUUGGAGGAAGCCAAAAAGGGCAUGGCGGUUGCUGGCAAGACCAAUGUUACUCCACUAGAGGAGAAAACUGUUGAUGAAGAACCGUUGGUUUAUGCUAAUAAGCAGGAGGCAAAGAAUGCUUUCAAAGCUCUCUUGGAAUCUGCAAAUGUUGAGUAUGACUGGACUUGGGAACAGGCUAUGAGAGUGAUAAUUAAUGACAAAAGAUAUGGUGCUCUGAAAUCACUUGGGGAGCGAAAGCAAGCUUUUAAUGAGUACCUGGGCCAAAGGAAAAAGCAGGAGGCUGAGGAGAGACGCAUUAGACAGAAGAGAGCAAGGGAGGAAUUCACAAAAAUGUUAGAAGAAUCAAAAGAGCUCACAUCAUCAACAAGAUGGAGCAAAGCUAUAAGCAUGUUUGAGGAUGAUGAGCGGUUCAAGGCUGUGGAGCGAGCCAGGGACCGUGAGGAUCUUUUUGAAAACUAUCUGGUGGAACUGGAGAAAAAGGAACGUGCAAAAGCUCAGGAGGAGCAUAAGCGUAAUAUAAUGGAGUACAGGCAAUUUCUGGAAUCCUGUGACUUUAUUAAGGCAAACAGUCAAUGGAGGAAAGUUCAAGAUCGCCUGGAGGAUGAUGAAAGAUGUUCUCGUCUUGAAAAGAUAGAUCGCUUGGAAAUCUUCCAGGAAUAUUUACGUGACUUAGAAAAGGAAGAUGAGGAGCAUAGGAAGAUUGAGAAGGAGCAACAGAGACGGGCUGAGAGAAAAAAUCGUGAUGAGUUCCGUAAGUUGAUGGAAGAACAUGUUGCCGAAGGGAUGCUUGCAGCUAAAACUCAUUGGCGUGACUAUUUUAUGAAGGUUAAAGAAUUGCCUGCGUUUAUAGCAGUAUCAAAAAACACCUCUGGUUCUACACCAAAAGAUCUGUUUGAGGAUGUUGUCGAGGAAUUAGAGAACCAGUAUCAUGACGACAAGACUCGAAUAAAGGACGGAAUGAAGUUAGAAAAGAUAAAUAUGGCAUCAUCAUGGACUUUUGAAGACUUUAAGGCUUCUAUUAUUGAGGUUGUUGGCUCUCCCACCAUAUCAGAUAUCAACUUAAAGCUUGUAUACGAGGAGUUAAUCGAAAGGAUUAAGGAGAAGGAGGAAAAGGAAGCCAAAAAGCGUCAACACUUGGCAGAUGAUUUCACUGAUAUAUUACACUCUAUCAAGGAAAUAACUGCAUCGUCGAAAUGGGAGGACUCCAAAUCACUUUUUGAAGAUAGUCAAGAGUAUAGAGCAAUUGGGGAAGAGAACUUCAGAAGGGAGGUCUUUGAGGAGUAUGUCACACAUUUGCAAGAAAAGGCAAAAGAGAAAGAGCGCAAGAGAGAGGAAGAAAAGGCGAAAAAAGAAAAAGAGAGAGAGGAGAAAGAGAAGAGGAAGGAUAAAGAGAGAAAGGAAAAAGAGAGAGAACGUGAAAGGGACAAGGUAAAGGAAAGAUCCAAGAAGGACGAAAUGGAGAGUGAAAAUGUUGAUGUAACUGGCAAUUAUGUCUCCAAAGAAGAAAAAAAGAGGGAGAAAGACAAGGACAGGAAACACCGGAAGCGGCAUCAUAGUGCAGCAGAUGAUGUUAGCUCUGAUAAGGAUGAGAAAGAAGAGUCUAAAAAGUCGCGUAGGCAUAGCAGUGACAGGAAAAAAUCGAGGAAGCAUGCAUACUCUCCUGAAUCAGAUGGUGGAAGCAGGCACAAGAGACAUAAGAGAGAUCACAGGGAUAGUUCCCGUAGAAAUGGUGGUUAUGAGGAGCUUGAAGAUGGGGAGCUUGGAGAGGAUGGGGAAAUCCGAUCACGUGGACACACCAAAAACGAUGAUUAAAGAUGCAUAAAAGUAGGAUUCUGAAGGGCUGUAGCAGACAUAGGGCACAAAGCAGUUCAUUUUAACAACCACGAAGCCUGGGUUUUUAUCACAACCACUUUGCUUUGUUUAGUUCAGAACCUCAGGACACAGUGAGUGAGUUGAGUUGUAAAAUAUUGUAGUCUGCUGUGCAUGAUGCUGGAGGCCUGGAGCUCUGAGUUGUGGUUUGCAUGCUAAUAGUGGUACAUCAUCAGUUCCAAAGAGCAUCUUACUGGACAACAUUAUUCUUUCCCUUAGAACAACAAUGGGCUUAAAGAAUUUCUUAAUUUUUGUGAUUUUGACCUCAAAACAUAUGUUAAAGGUUUUGGCCUUAAUAUAUAUAUAUAUAUAUAUAUAUAUACUUUUUUCACAGUAAUUUGUGAAUACAAGUUAGUAGUACAAAUAUUUUUUAGAUUUGGACUAAUUUAGUGAUUGUUUUGAACUUUGAUGGGGAAAAAAAUUAUUCAUUGCCAAAUCUGUUAUUAACCAGAAGAAAAUAAAAUAUAAGCUGUGCAAAUCUUGCCAUGAUACGUGCUUUAUGUGAGUACCUGAACUCACACCCUGGGCAGACUUUCAUUUGCAGUUCAAGCCAUCCGUGUUAAGACUACAGUGUUUUUUGUUCACUGGGUCUAGAUUUUCUGCCCUCCUUCCUUGCCAUGCGUUGCUGAGUUUGGGAUGUUUAUUGCCGGUUUUUUUUACCAUUGUUUUCCUCAAGUACUGAUUGGAGAAACGCAGGUAGAAGGACAUUCUUUGUGGUUUCAAAAUGUACUUAGCUAAGCCUUUUUCCUAAUGAAGUAGGGAUAACUAUACGAAUUCAGUUUUGCUAUUAUACUAAGUAAAGUAUUGAACUUUUUACCAAAAAAAAUAAAGUGUUCAACUCUAGAGCAAUGUUGCCUACAGGAAAGGCAUUCAACUCUAUUAGAUCAAUGUUACCUACAGCAAAUUAUGAUGGUUUAAAAUUAAUGUGUCUAAAACCCAUUGCUUUUAGGACCAUUAAACUGGGUAACUGGAUUGGGGUUUUACUGCUUGUAUUGUUGACUGAAAGGUCUCCAAUGGUAAAAAUGGUAUUAAAGGAAUAUAUAUAUAUAUAUAUAUAUAUGGGCCAACUGUGGGACUAUACGAAGUAUUGCCCCUAGUACCUAUCAGAUACCGAAUGCUUUUUUUUUUUCUUAGAACAGAAAGAUAUUUGAUUUCAGGAGUGGAACCAGCAGUAGGGAAGACUGAGGUAGUUUUCUGGUGCUUUAUUAAUUUAUUAUUGGAAAAAGGUUGGGUAUGCCAGUGGGUACUUAGGAAUAAAGUAUGCUAGUGUUUAUUCAUCCAACGAUCUCAUCCGUUUGAACCCAUUGUUUUACAUAACUUGCCUACCACUGCCACCCUAUAGUCCCUCUUCUUCUCCCCUUCCGGCUCCUGCUUCCUUCCACAAAUUCCGUUAAUAUUUUUUGCUUAGUUUAUCCUAUUUGGCGGGCACAAUCCAGACGUUGUAUCAUAAUUGUCAUUUUUCUGUCCAAUAUUGCUAUUGCUUGUCGGCAUCUGCAACUUCACAUAAAAGAACCUGGAUAGAGUUCUUUCUCCACCACAAAUAGAUCUAGAUUCUUCAAAGCUUUUAGACUCAAUUUUGGGAACGGUUUUCCUGCAGCAAGUUAGGAAGAAUCCUAUAAAUUGAAAACAGAAAGAAAAACCAUGUUUGAUUACUUAUCAGAUUAAAUGCAUCGUCAAUAAAAUAAACCCCUUUAUUUUGAUUGCUGAUAGUUAGUAGGAAUGCAGUUCAGAAGGUGAAGGAAAACAGAGAUUUGAAGAGGCCCAGCCAGUGGCUUCCUCUUGAAUGUAUCUGUUAACUGUUAACCAGUGUAUGGGCGAAAGAACUAUGUAGAAAACAGAAAUUUGAAGAGUUGGAAGUUGAAAUAAGGUUUCAACAUUCAAGUAGAAAACAUUGAACAGAAAAUUAAACUGACUAAGCUUGAAUUGGAAUACGAUAUUGGAGUUUAUUGGGGCAGAAUCUUGACUAACAGAAUACUGUUUAAACCAAGCAAAUCAGAUAUAAAAUAAUUUAGAAGACAGAAACCGCAGUAUAGAAGGAAGCUUAGAAACUUGCUUGAUGAGAGAAGGGGCUGAGGGGAGGAGAAGGUGCGAGCGAGAGUGAGGGAGAAAGAGAGGUCUGGUUCCGAGAGGGAGAGGGCCAUUGAAAAGCAAAACCAGAGGUCGUCUCAGGCAGCUCGGGAUGGUUGCAGGGGUGGGGUAGAGAUAAGGUGUAGCAGCGGUGGAUUGAUGGUUUGGAUUUUUUCCCUUCAUCCAACGGUUUUAUUUAAGAUGAUCAAAUUCUAUGGUUUUAUUUAAGAUGAUCAAAUCUUACGAUUAAAAUCCCACUAGCACAUGAGAUUCCAAGGUAACCCGCUAGUAUACCUAUAUCUCUUCCUUUAUUAUUGAGAUUCUUAAGUUCCAAAUGGUAUGAUGUGAAUAGGUCUGAUUGGAGGGCGAGGAUUAUGUAGCCAAUUCCAUUUAGUUGAGAUAAGGUUGAGUUUGUUUAAGUUCAAAAUUAUUUUCCAAUGUGUGCAUUAGCAGUAGGGUAUGGAACUAUUCAUGCUAUUGUUUCUAUGUUGUUUAUUUAUUUAUUUUUUUUUUCUGGGUGACGGCUAUUGUUUCUAUUGGCUCGGAUUGAUUGCAAGAAAAGCAAGUUUUCACUUUAUUACUAUCAUUGGAGAAGAUGGUUUAUGUUUGGAAACAGUAAAAUUGGUAGAUUCUUUAAGCAAAAAGAAUACAGCGGGUGAAUGUCUAGUCUCCUUACAUAUGUUCGUGACUGCUAAUAUUUCGUUUUAUUGCAAUAAAUUUCUUUGUAAAAUGAUUAAAAAAUAAAAAUAAGAAACAAAGGGAAUCUUCACCUUGUGUAAGGACUUAUUUUUCAAAGCAAAGGGGGGAAAGUACCUCCUGGUC